AUCUUAAAAGUUCCUAUAGAAUAAAUGAAUUCAAGUAGAAGGUGAUUAAUACCAUAACCUCUUAGAUAGUAACAUGAUUGCAAAAUUUUAAUUAGCAGAUACUAAUUCUACUACUAGUUGCAUACUUACAAAAUAUAUAUCUCUACAAAUAAGUUACAAAGUUAGUUUUAAAAUUUGACACUAGAUUUAAUAACAAGAUAUUGAUUACCGUGAAGGGUUUUUCAAUUUAGUACCUACAGUAGAGUUUGUAGAAAGGAGAGAUGCUUGGCAUCUCCUCCUACAUGGACUUUAGCUAAAGUCAUAUUUGUUGAUUUGUUAAGUGCAUUGGUUGGUAAAGCUUAAGUUAUAACAUAAACUAGACAAAUAUGUUUUUUAUUCCCAUAUUUUAUAAGACUCACAAUUACCACUCACUUUAUUAUCCACAUAUUCCGUAUGACCUACCUGUCAACACUUAAAAGCACUACCAAAAGUACUUUAAGUAAGGAAACGUGUGUGAAUGUAUACUACUGCCCAUCCACAAGGCCAUGAACAUGACCUGAUUGCUAUGCUAUAAAACUAUGAAAUAGUUGUGAGAUGAAAUGAAAAUUAUCCAUCUGAGGAUAGUCAUAAGUGCUUGGGGACUCUAAUACAUAUUUUCUUCCACAUGACUUCAGCAAAUAUAACGCCAACUAGGACAGAAAUGCAGAGCAUACAAAUCCUUGUUAUGAAAAGGAAUAUCAAGAAGGUCUAGGGCAAUCUUUCUGAUAGGCAAGUUCUUGCCUGAUAUUUGCAGUUGUUUUAAUUCCUCAAGAGAAAUUGUAAGUAGUAAACAAACAAAAUAGGAUAUGUAGCUCAUUAACGUCCUCAACAAAUUUGUGUAUAGAUCAGUAGGAGUCUAUUAAUUUCUUCUAGCGAGAGAAAAUCUUCUGGUCUUAUCGGAUUAAUUAAAGAUGUUACUCUACUCGAUCAAAUUUUAGACUAACCACAUAAUAGACAACGUAAGGAGGCCAAGUCAGUUUUUACAUGCACAGAGGAUCACAUUUGUGAUUCUACUAAAUUUGGAACCUUGGUUUCCCCCCUGCAAAAUUCGUCGUUCUUCAUUGGAUUUUUCCUGUUCUCAAAUAGAAAUGGGAGAAAUUCAUAGAAAGAUUAUGAGCAAGUCUGACUAUUGUAAGAACACAGAUGUAUAAUGUUGCUGGAUUUUUUCAAAUCUGUAUUCUGGUUCUGCCAACCCCUAUGCAUCGAAAUAACCAAAGUGAAUAGAUAAAGAAAAACAAAGACCCUUUAUGUUUCUUUUAGUUGUCAGAAUUGUGAUAAUUUCAAACAUCUAUAUGCUAAUAUGUUAUAUUUAACAAGUAUGAUCUCAAUCUAAUUCUAUACUACCAUGCUACAGAUCUGAUGUAUGAUAUUGGUUGAUGCAGAUCCUUUGGGAGAUCAAGUGUAUGGAUUCGGUUCUGGAAAGCGUGGCCAGCUGGGUAUGUCUAAUGAUGAAGUCAAAUUCUUCCUCAGAUUACUUUGGGAUUGAUCGAUGUCAAAAUCAUCAGUAUCAAUGCAAAUGGAGAUCAUAGUGCAGCAUUAUCUGGUCCCCUCAAGAUGGUGGCUCAUUUGAACAGACCAAUUUUGAAAUCCAUGGGAUAACUCUGAUAUCAUAUUAAGACUCGGGGUCCAUCUUAAUAAGCUAGUGGGCAUUUGUACACAUGGGGAAGAGGGUUUCUCGAUGCCUCGGAUUUGUAUACUCUGCAUUAUUGUCCUGCAGAUUUGUCAUUCAAUGAGGUUGCUCUAGGAUGAAACCAUGCUUUGGUGCAAACAAGUUAGAAUAAAGUGUGUAUGCUUGGCGGCUAUCAUCAUGGAAUACUUGGUGAUCUUCAGAAAAUGGCCUUGAGGAAGCACAUUUCUGGGAACGGAUCAGUAAUGACAUUGGGUUGGGGCGAACAUGGCCAGCUUGGCUUGGGGGAUACUGUUGAUCAAACCGACCCUCAGGUGGUGAGCUUAGGUCAUAACCGAGCCGAGGAACAUGCCAUAUCCAGAGUCUAUUGUGGUAGUGGGUUUUCCUUUGUUUUAAGGACAUAUGAUGGGUAUUCUCAAAUUAGAUAAGCAAAAUCAAGGAAUUAAGAUUUAAGAUUUGCCAUCUAACUAUCUGCCUCAGCUCUUAGGAAGAGAUUCUUUGAAAUUGGCGAUUCUAAAACAAUUCUCUUGAAAAUAUGUGCUUUAAGCUUGGGAAGUUGCAACUUGAAAGCCUUGUUUGUUUUCUGUUGUAUACUAUUUGAUGGAGAGGGAAAGUAAACAAUUGAUACUUAUCUGUGCGGAUUAUCCGUGAACUUCGUCUCUAUGGCACAAAACAUUUGGUGAAGCUAAAACAACUCUCUUGGCCUUAAGCUAACAACUGCGAAUCAAAAGUGGAGGGCUGGAAGCCCAAACAUGUUUGGUGCAGAGGAUACUGCUGCGCGGGAUAAUGAACAAGAUUUAUUUAGAACCGUCGAGUCGAGCAUAAUAAGCGUAAGACGUUUGUAUAUACCUGUUUAAUGUCAACUGAGAACUUUUCGUUGUCUAUGCUUGAAACUGUAAUUUUGAUCUUUCAGAAUUCACUCCUUAUAGAUUAGCUUUUCGAAGGAGAUUGAGUUGUGAGCCUUUGUUUUGCACGGUGCAGUAAAUUUUCAGUAACCUUUUCCA